AUACGGAGGGUCCAAGCGUUAUCCGGAAUCAUUGGGUUUAAAGGGUCCGCAGGCGGUCAAUUAAGUCAGAGGUGAAAGCCCAUCGCUCAACGAUGGAACUGCCUUUGAUACUGGUUGACUUGAGUUAUACGGAAGUAGAUAGAAUAAGUAGUGUAGCAGUGAAAUGCAUAGAUAUUACUUAGAAUACCGAUUGCGAAGGCAGUCUACUACGUAUAUACUGACGCUGAGGGACGAAAGCGUGGGGAGCGAACAGGAUUAGAAACCCCUGUAGUCC
rnacentral:rRNA from 1 species